GUCCCAGCCGCCUGUUUUAACGAGUCUCUCUCCCCCUCGAGCCAAAUGUACAGCUGGGGAAACUGACUCUCUGGGACAGGACAGCUCGGAGUUCAUUGUGGUCUGCCCCGGUGUGGGCCCCUGCACUGAGAGCAGGCAGCAGAUGAAAGGGGUCACCCAGCCUGACUGCUCAUGGAUUCCCUUGCCAGGCUCUGAGCCCCUCCCACCGUCAUUACCUCCUCGCUGAUCUCCCGGAGGAUGGAGGGCUGCAGCUGCAUGGACUUGAAGAGAGUUCCCACUAUGCAGCAUUUCUCUGCGGUCUGCAGCUCACACAGCUUCCUCACGGCUAUGCCGCUGCCUGCAGAGAGAAGCACAACUCAGCCUCUCCGGACAUUUCGACUGCCUGAGGGACUGGCCAGGCUCACAGCCACCCUGGAGAGGAGUCACACAACACGGCUAUGGGACAUCUAAAGGGACGGUUGAGAAAUAUCUGAAGGGCAUAAACGCUAAGGGAGAAAAUGGAGCACCUGGCACCGGCAGCUGUCUGAAGACAGGAUACGGGGCUAGAUGGACCAUUGCUUUGACCCAGUACAGCUAUACUUAGGACUUCAGUCUGGGGAUUCAACACAAGACCCUGGAAAUUCUGGUCCCCUUCCACUUGCCAGCCAAGACCCGAGUUCAGGAUUCUACACUUCCCUCACAACGUUCAACGAUAUCAUUAACCACAGCCGUCUAGGGAAACGCGGCUGUCAGUACCGGCGAUGCCACUGACAUCUGGAUUGUGCUUUCGGCAGUGCAAGUAACCAGAACUCUGCUUCACCUGUAGAUCGACACCCCAGCCAGCAUGCCACAGCCAGCCUGGAAACCCAGCACCCCCCUGCCCACCAGGGAAAGGGAGAACUCUCAUCAAUCAGGACACAUUCAUAGGUUUCAAGGCCAGAAGAGACCAUUACAAUCAUCUAGAGUGGCCUCCUGUAUUGACCAGGCCAGAGAACCUCAUCCGGCGAUUCCUCCAUCCAGCACGGAACUCUGCUCAGGGCUCAGCAUGGCAGCGCACGCACGCACAUGCACACAGCAUUCAAGCCAGAGAUUUACAAGACCACUCCAGGAAGCAGGACAAGGACGGUCAGUCCUUCCCAUGGGGCCUUGCCCUCCCUGGGCUGCAGAGCUCUGAUCAGCCACAACAGUUCUGGCUGUUCCCCGAGAGCAGGGCUCAGCACUGUGACUGCACUUCAACUCCAUUAGUUCCUGCACAGCCUAAACAGGAUAGUUAAAAAAAAAAAAAUUCCUCAGGCUCCAAGACAAAUGUUGAAAUAGAAAUUCCACGACAGGCUCAGCUAAUCUAGACUCGGAGGCUGAUUCUGGGUCAUUUCCCUUUGCAUCCGGCCUCUGUUCUUCCCCAAGGAAGUGAGGGAGGGGCUCAAGGGCAUCUGUAGGGGAACACACUGCAAGAGUCUCAGACACAAGGCACUACAGAAAGGUUAAACAUUAGUCUAGCUGCACCCAGACUCUCAGGCUGGGAGCUGUCAGGGUUUCAUGAGCUGAUUAAGGCUGAGGCUGGCGAACAUGGAGAUGAAGGAUGGGCUUGUUUAUAACUCCUUA